UACGUAGGUCCCGAGCGUUGUCCGGAUUUAUUGGGCGUAAAGCGAGCGCAGGUGGUUUAUUAAGUCUGGUGUAAAAGGCAGUGGCUCAACCAUUGUAUGCAUUGGAAACUGUCAGUCUUGAGUACCGGAGAGGUCAUCGGAAUUCCUUGUGUAGCGGUGAAAUGCGUAGAUAUAAGGAAGAACACCAGUGGCGAAGGCGGAUGACUGGACGGCAACUGACGGUGAGGCGCGAAAGCGUAGGGAGCAAACAGG
rnacentral:rRNA from 1 species